rnacentral:rRNA from 1 species
GACGAACGCUGGCGGCGUGCUUAACACAUGCAAGUCGAACGGAAAGGCCCUGCUUUUGUGGGGUGCUCGAGUGGCGAACGGGUGAGUAACACGUGAGUAACCUGCCCUUGACUUUGGGAUAACUUCAGGAAACUGGGGCUAAUACCGGAUAGGAGCUCCUGCUGCAUGGUGGGGGUUGGAAAGUUUCGGCGGUUGGGGAUGGACUCGCGGCUUAUCAGCUUGUUGGUGGGGUAGUGGCUUACCAAGGCUUUGACGGGUAGCCGGCCUGAGAGGGUGACCGGCCACAUUGGGACUGAGAGACGGCGCAGACGCCUACGGGAGGCAGCAGUGGGGAAUAUUGCACAAUGGGCGGAAGCCUGAUGAAGCAGCGCCGCGUGCGGGAUGACGGCCUUCGGGGUGUAAACCGCUUUCGCCUGUGACGAAGCGUGAGUGACGGUAAUGGGUAAAGAAGCACCGGCUAACUACGUG